AUUCUGCCCAUGCGGGGAAGGAUGAGAAGCUUCGACUAAGGUUCGGCUCGAGCGUCAGCGAGAGAGCGUUGCCGCAGGCAACGACCCGAAGGGCGAAGCGCGCAGCGCUGAGUAAUCCUUCCCCCACCCCCA
rnacentral:sRNA from 1 species